AACUGAAGAGUUUGAUCAUGGCUCAGAUUGAACGCUGGCGGCAGGCUUAACACAUGCAAGUCGAGCGGAGAGAGGUAGCUUGCUACUGAUCUUAGCGGCGGACGGGUGAGUAAUGCUUAGGAAUCUGCCUAUUAGUGGGGGACAACAUUUCGAAAGGAAUGCUAAUACCGCAUACGUCCUACGGGAGAAAGCAGGGGAUCUUCGGACCUUGCGCUAAUAGAUGAGCCUAAGUCGGAUUAGCUAGUUGGUGGGGUAAAGGCCUACCAAGGCGA
rnacentral:rRNA from 1 species